CUUUAUUGGAGAGUUUGAUCCUGGCUCAGGAUGAACGCUGGCGGCGUGCCUAAUACAUGCAAGUCGAGCGAAUGGAUUAAGAGCUUGCUCUUAUGAAGUUAGCGGCGGACGGGUGAGUAACACGUGGGUAACCUGCCCAUAAGACUGGGAUAACUCCGGGA
rnacentral:rRNA from 1 species